GGGGUGCUGCCCCGUGCGUGAGGCCACUUUUUGCUCUGGGCCGAUAUUUACCUCCAGGGAGCUGUCCCUGCCGGAAUCGCGGUUCCGGUAUCACGGCGCCCACCUGUACUUACAGGUCGCAUGAGGAAACGAUGACCCACGGCCGGGUGGUCCCAUC
rnacentral:other from 1 species